GGAGACAUAGCUCAGCUGGGAGAGCGAGCGACUGAAGUUCAGUCAUCAGGACUGAGGUGGAUCGAAAGGUUCGUCUCGGAUCAUCGCUAGGUCGGGUGUUCAAUCCACUCUGGCUCCA